rnacentral:piRNA from 1 species
GGGUCAUUAAUGGCUGCUCACAUCUUA